rnacentral:rRNA from 1 species
UACGUAGGGUGCAAGCGUUAAUCGGAAUUACUGGGCGUAAAGCGUGCGCAGGCGGCUUUGCAAGACAGAUGUGAAAUCCCCGGGCUCAACCUGGGAACUGCAUUUGUGACUGCAAGGCUAGAGUACGGCAGAGGGGGAUGGAAUUCCGCGUGUAGCAGUGAAAUGCGUAGAUAUGCGGAGGAACACCGAUGGCGAAGGCAAUCCCCUGGGCCUGUACUGACGCUCAUGCACGAAAGCGUGGGGAACAAACAGG